rnacentral:rRNA from 1 species
AACGAACGCUGGCGGCAGGCUUAACACAUGCAAGUCGAACGAUGAACUUGGAGCUUGCUCUGGGGGAUUAGUGGCGAACGGGUGAGUAACACGUGAGUAACCUGCCCUGGACUCUGGGAUAACUUCGAGAAAUCGGAGCUAAUACCGGAUAGGACCUUGCACCGCAUAGUGUGGGGUGGAAAGUUUUUCGGUUUGGGAUGGACUCGCGGCCUAUCAGCUUGUUGGUGAGGUAAUGGCUCACCAAGGCGUCGACGGGUAGCCGGCCUGAGAGGGUGACCGGCCACACUGGGACUGAGACACGGCCCAGACUCCUACGGGAGGCAGCAGUGGGGAAUAUUGCACAAUGGGCGCAAGCCUGAUGCAGCAACGCCGCGUGCGGGAUGACGGCCUUCGGGUUGUAAACCGCUUUUAGUAGGGAAGAAGCCUUCGGGUGACGGUACCUGCAGAAAAAGGACCGGCUAACUACGUGCCAGCAGCCGCGGUAACAC